rnacentral:rRNA from 1 species
UACGAAGGGAGCUAGCGUUGUUCGGAAUCACUGGGCGUAAAGCGUGCGUAGGCGGCUUCUCAAGUCAGGGGUGAAAUCCCACAGCUUAACUGUGGAACUGCCUUUGAAACUGAGAGGCUAGAAUGUGAGAGGGGAUGGCGGAAUUCCUAAUGUAGAGGUGAAAUUCGUAGAUAUUAGGAGGAACACCCGUGGCGAAAGCGGCCAUCUGGAUCACAAUUGACGCUGAUGUACGAAAGCGUGGGUAGCAAACGAGGAAUUA